rnacentral:rRNA from 1 species
GAUGAACGCUAGCGGCAGGCCUAAUACAUGCAAGUCGAGCGGCAGCAGGACUGUAGCACUUCAGUUGCUGGCGACCGGCAAACGGGUGCGCUACAAGUAUGCAACUUACCCUGAACUGGGGGAUAGCCCGGGGCAACCAGGCCUCAUACCCCGUAAUAUAAUGAAGUGGCAUCCUUUUAUUAUUACAGUUCCGGCGGAUCGUGAUGGGCGUGCGCCUGUUUAGGUAGUUGGUUGAUGCAACGGCUCACCAAGCCUACUAUAAUUAACUGGUGGGAGGGCACGUCAAAUCACACGGGAACUGAGGCACGGGCCCGACUGCUACGGGAGGCAGCAGUAAGUAAGAUUGGGCGAGGGAGGCAACUCUGACCCAGCCAUGCCGCGUGAAGAAUGAAGGGCCUCUGAGUUGUAAACUUCUUUGGUAGAGGACGAAAACUGUGUAUUCUCACGCAGUUGACGGUACCCUAAGAAUAAGCACCGGCUAACUCCGUG